rnacentral:lncRNA from 1 species
GGAAGUGUGUCAUUAGGGGGUGGGCUUCAAGGUCUCCGAAGCUCAAGCCAGUUCACCUCCUGCUGCCUAAUGAAUGCAGAACUCUGAGCUCCUCCACCACCAUGUCUGUCUGCGUGCUACCAUGUUUCCUAAGAUGAUAAUGGACUAAACCUCUGAACCUGUAAGCCAGCCCCAAUUAAAUGUUCUCCUUUGUAAGGGUUGCCGGGAUCGUGGUAUCUGUUCACAGCAAUAGAAACUCCACCCUUAGCAGGUAAAAUUCCAAGUUUCCUGGAAUACAAGCACUCCGGUACUGGGUAACUGAGAUGGUGCCUUAAGUGAUUACCGAGGCGGGGAUGGGGGUGGGGGUGUAGCAUAUACAGCGUGGAUACACUAGACACAGGAUUUGUUUUCUAACUGCAGUGGAUGGCAUACUGUUCCAUACUGUUCAGAACAGAAUGCAAAUUAAGAUGACGAAUGCUUUAAUUCUGGAAUUUUCCGUGUGGUAUUUGAAGACCAAGAUUGAUUGUCUAAACUAAAACUAGAGAGACCUCAGAUUACACGGGGCUGUGGGGGGUGGGGUGACGGGGGUUCCGGGAAUGCUCACACAAAUGGAACAGGAGAAAAGGGGGCCUGGGACCUUGAGCUGGACCACCCAACAUCAGUAUAGAUAUUUCGCGCCCCCUGGCGGAUCAUCCCCAAGUUGCAAGCUGUGUGCUCAGGCUGGACAUGGCUUGGAAACAGAGGAGCUCGUGGAUGUUUCUCUUGGCUGCUAGGAGCAAGGAAUCCAGGUCAACUUCUGGAACUGAGCUAGCAAAAAUGCUAUUAGCUACAGCAGUGGUGACCCCUGGCUGGCCCUGGGAGUGUGAGCCUUUCAUUCGACUCUGGAGAGACCCGAGAGUACACUUCCAGCAACUCUGGACCAAGGAAUUCCAGCCUUCCCCCACCUACCAAGAUUUGUAAAAAAUAGACUUUAUCUGGACGUGGAGACAAGCCUCCCUAAGGAACCACCCAUAGGACCUAGGUAG